GAAAGCUGCAUGCUUUGAAAGAAACUUGUUCAGUUUUGAAAGAGGUUUUGAUUGAUCAAAAGCAUAACCUACUUCAAC
rfam:Nicotiana attenuata strain TT chromosome 6, whole genome shotgun sequence.